rnacentral:rRNA from 1 species
GCGGCAGGCUUAACACAUGCAAGUCGAGCGGGGGAAGGUAGCUUGCUACUGGACCUAGCGGCGGACGGGUGAGUAAUGCUUAGGAAUCUGCCUAUUAGUGGGGGACAACAUCUCGAAAGGGAUGCUAAUACCGCAUACGUCCUACGGGAGAAAGCAGGGGAUCUUCGGACCUUGCGCUAAUAGAUGAGCCUAAGUCGGAUUAGCUAGUUGGUGGGGUAAAGGCCUACCAAGGCGACGAUCUGUAGCGGGUCUGAGAGGAUGAUCCGCCACACUGGGACUGAGACACGGCCCAGACUCCUACGGGAGGCAGCAGUGGGGAAUAUUGGACAAUGGGGGGAACCCUGAUCCAGCCAUGCCGCGUGUGUGAAGAAGGCCUUAUGGUUGUAAAGCACUUUAAGCGAGGAGGAGGCUACUUUAGUUAAUACCUAGAGAUAGU